rnacentral:snRNA from 1 species
AUGCUCAUUCAGCAGUACAUGAAUCAAAAUUGGAACAAUACAGAGAAGAUCAGCAUGCAGGGAUGACAUACACAUUUGUGAAGUAUAUUUUU